UACGGAAGGCAGCAGUGGGGAAUAUUGCACAAUGGGCGAAAGCCUGAUGCAGCUAUGCCGCGUGUAUGAAGAAGGCCUUAGGGUUGUAAAGUACUUUCAUCGGGGAGGAAAAACAAAACUAAUAAUUUUAUUUCUUGACGUUACCCGAAAAAGAAGCACCGGCUAACUCCGUGCCAGCAGCCGCGGUAAUACGGAGGGUGCUAGCGUUAAUCAGAAUUACUGGGCGUAAAGAGCACGUAGGUGGUUUUUUUAAGUCAGAUGUGAAAUCCCUGGGCUUAACCUGGAACUGCAUUUUGAAACUGAAAUACUAGAGUAUCGUAGAGGGAGGUAGAAUUCUAGGUGUAGCGGUGAAAUGCGUAGAUAUCUGGAGGAAUACCUGUGGCGAAAGCGGCCUCCUAAACGAAUACUGACACUGAGGUGCGAAAGCGUGGGGAGCAAGCAGGGAUUAGAUACC
rnacentral:rRNA from 1 species